CCUACAACGGUGAUUGCCUCAUUACGUUCUGCGUGAUCCACAUGACACACUUCUCUCAGAUCGAUCCGGGUGCCGACAUCCUAGCAAACAUGUUCUACUCCCCUUCAAUGUAUGUUGCCCUUGUAACGGUAUCGUUGCAGGUGCUUCACCCGCGCGCUGUGGACACUUAGGACGCCUUCUUGCAAGCGAUUCCCCCGUGCUAUGCGUGGGGGGAAGCUUGGUUGGCUUCACCACUGUGGCUACGCGAGCGCAUGAGCUGUUUUGGAUCCGUGUCCGUUGGUAGACUCCCCGUCCUCGUGCGGCCGACUACUGACGCCGUUUCCUGUCAUUUGUGUGACUUAUGUUACUUCUAGUUUUCAAGUGUUUGCGUGCUGGUACCCGACCUACGGGAAGUGGUUCUCCAUACACGUUUGCUUCGCGGCGGACUCCCCCGGGUGUCCCGCUGUGGCCUAAUGGUGCUUGUGGCGUUGCCCCGUGGUGCUGACACGUACCAUCAAGGCAGCCUCGCUUGCGCUGUUGGUUUUGGAUGUUGCUCACGAUAAAGGUUCAUGGCCCUUCUGGUUGCCUUGACCCAAACCUAAUGAAGCUCUUUGGAUCGGAACGUGUCGUAGAACGGUGUGUUGCCUGUACCUGUCCACAGUUAGUGGUAGGAUACGCAACAUGCUGGGCCGAUGCUAGUAGGUGAAGGGGAAGCUUGGCUCGCUCAAUUGCGACAACCGGCCCGACUGUUGUGCUGCCCGUAAGGGUGGAUGACAGCCGACGCUGGACGUCAAAGAGGACGUG
rnacentral:misc_RNA from 1 species